UCUCCGUUGGUGAACCAGCGGAGGGAUCAUUACAGAGUUCAUGCCCUACAGGGUAGAUCUCCCACCCUACGUUUUUAUUACUUUGUGGCGUUGGCGGGCCGUUAGGCUCCGGCCCGACUACCGGCCCCGGCUGGUAAACGCCCGCCAGAGGAACCAAAACCCUGAAUAUUAGUGUCGACUGAGUACUAUAUAAUAGUUAAAACUUUCAACAACGGAUCUCUUGGUUCUG
rnacentral:misc_RNA from 1 species